rnacentral:rRNA from 1 species
UACAGAGGGGGCAAGCGUUAUUCGGAAUUAUUGGGCGUAAAGGGCGCGUAGGCGGCCUGGCAAGUGGAUGGUGAAAUCCCUCGGCUUAACCGAGGAACUGCCAUCCAGACUGCUUGGCUUGAGACCGGGAGAGGUGAGUGGAAUUCCCAGUGUAGCGGUGAAAUGCGUAGAUAUUGGGAGGAACACCAGUGGCGAAGGCGGGUCUCUGGGCCGCUCCUGACGCUGAGACGCGAAGGCCAGGGUAGCGAACGGG